GCUGGGUGUGAUGAUGCAUGCCUGUAAUCUCAGCUACCCGAGAGGCUGAGAUAGAGGGAUCACAAGUUUGAGGCCAGCCCGGCAACUUAGUGAGACCCUGUCUCUA
rnacentral:sRNA from 1 species